AUGGGAGUGGCAUCAUACAUGGCGGGCCGGGAUUUCUUGCCAAAUCUGAAAGGAAACAUAAACACAAAUUGUACCUUGUUAUGUUUGUUAUCAAAAUGCAAUCCUGCAGUGUUUGCAGAUUGUUUAUUGUAUUUUUUAGAUAGAAAAUAAAAGAAGAGGGAGUUGAUCACUGCUUGAUUUACAAAAGCUUUGUUUUUGUGUCUGAAAUAAGUCAGUUGAGCAACUUGUAGCUUGCACUUGUUAAACAGUGCAGAAAUAGAGUGAAGAAUGUUUUGACCGUGAACCUUUCAGACACUUCAGCCUAUGAUGUUUCCAGCAAAAAAAAUAUAUAACACAAAGUGGACAUUUCGGCCAGAUAUGUCAUUUUUUGGGAGCUUUGUCUUCUGUUUCAGACAGUAUGAACCAAAGAUAUGUCAUGUUUUGUCAACCUCACUGCAUUUAUUAAUACACAAACUGUGAAUGGGGGUUGCAACAGGCAAAAGUUGCAUCAUUCCCAGUUUCUUCAUUCACAUCCACAGAAGACUGUAAUUCCUCCAGAGCUGUCAUGGACGUCUUGGUAGCUUCAUUAAUCUCCUUCUAGCACAAUCACUCAGUUUUUGAAAACUGCUGACUUGACACAGA